GGGGGAGAAGAAGAGAGCCGAAAUUUAUCGGUACGUUAUUUGCGCGCACGCUGCCACUGCAGAGAAACAUAGUUAAGUAACUGGAGAAGCUGUAAUUAGAAUGUUUCCUGUCAGCAAGGACAUUCAUUCUUGAAGAUAUCGAUCAACCGUCCCCCUCCGUUGUCGUCGAUAAUUUACACAGAAUGAAUUUUACCUACAACCGUAACAUAUGAAGCCAAUUACAACUUAAAGAUUCACGUUUGUCUCGAGGCACGUCGCAAGAUAACGGACGGUGAAUUUUGGUGGUUUCGAAAUUUCCAGUUUCGACAAGGCUCGUUACCAGAUUUUCUCAUGCUUCUACGAACGGAUAUGGAUGACUGGGGUAUACAUUUCUGACCACCGAUGUAUCCACCACUGACCGUGGCCGGGCAGAAACCGCGUAGACGUGCGGUUUCUCUCGAUCGUUAGAGAUUUACGAGCUGCCAAUAUGGUGACACUAUGUGUGCGUGCGCAUUCGAGCGCCGAGGACAUCGAUCACUGUAACUGAUAAGCGAACGAGCAGUAAUUCUGUUACUAAAUGCCAAUUACGAAAUUUAUAUCUUCGUUUCUUAUUAUUUAUCUAUCGUUUGUUUAUUUACACAAGUUUUUGUUCAACUAUCGGUUAUGAAAUUCUAACCGAUUAAUUUUUGUCCCUCUCGAAAUUCUCGUCGAAUUAUUCGUUAUUAUUAUUCAAUUUAUUUGUUGAUAAGAAA